rnacentral:lncRNA from 1 species
ACAGAGGACUUUUGGUACAUGAGAUUAUUCUGUUUCAUACUGAAAUGGUGGAUAUGGGACUUUCUGAAAACUCUUGAACUGGUGAAUGCGUUUGUCAAAACCUGUAGAACAUGACAACACAAACAGUGAACCCUAAUGAAAGCUACGGAGUUUAGUUAAUAAUGUGUCAAUAUUAGAAUUAGCUCAUCAACUUAACCAUCGUACCGCAGUGAUCCAAGAUGUUGACACUGGGGAGUGCUGUUUAUUUGGGGGAAAGGAGGUAUGUGGGAACUCUCUGUACUUUCAGCUCAAUUUUUCUAUAAAACUAAAACUGCUCUAAAAUUAAAUCUAGUAAUUUGAAAAAUAUUCCCUCUCCCCACGCUCUAGAGAUCCUGAUUUAAUUUCUCUGGGGUGGAGCCUGCACAUUUGUAUUUUUUAGGUUAUGCACUUUAUUCUAAUGUGUAGUGUGGAUUCAGAACAGCUCGUCUAAAAUGAAGGGUCUGCAGAGACCGAUGUACGGGGUGCCAGAGGGAAACCACGUGUGAGAGAACAAGGCCUUCAUGCUUUGUAAGAGAGGACAGAACCAGAUCACAAGGGCUACUUAAAAAAGCCCUCCUCUUGCUUUGCAUUCUUCCAGGACCUGCAACCGGUGAUUGAACUACCAGUUUCUGAAGGCCACCCAUUCACACCUAUUUCCCGCUACUCCAGGUAAGACACUCACGGCAGGCAGUCUCCCGGGAAACAGAAGUCUCUAUUUGUUACCAUCAUCGUCUGGCUCAUGAUCCUAAUGAGGACCAAGAUUCCUGUGGGAUCAAGUUCCCCUCUGAGGAUUCUUGAGAGCCGCCUUCCUGAAUCCUCACAAACACCUUCCUACCUACUUCCUUCCAUUAACAAUUACCUUUCCAUCUUUAUUUUUUUGCCUACGACAAGCACCCUUAACACACUCAUACCUGUUUCACCUUUCUUCCGUAAUAACCUAGAUUUUAUUUUCAUGUUGAGGAAAAACACUAUUUUCCACUAGGCUAUCUGCAGCUGGAGGAGGCCGUGAGUCACCGUUUUGAGCCUAGAGAUGUAAACAGAAGUUGCUGGGAAGAGCUUCUAGGAAGCCUCUGUAAGAUGAUUAUCUCAGUUGGGUCUGUCUUUUUGCUUUGUCCAUCCCUUUUUUAACUUUGGAGUGUGCGUGUGAUACAGGAGGUGAAGCAGUCAUUUUGUGACUAUGAGGAGAUAAAGCCACAUGGGUAAGUUGGCAGAGCAGGACACUGGGAGAAGCAUGUGCUUCUGUUGGCAAUGAGGGAUCAUCAUACUAUUCCUAAACAGUCUAAGUCCUGAGGUCUCGUGUGUGUUCUUACUUGUUCAUUACUCUACUUUUUCAGGUUGUAUAUUACUUACAGUUCAAUACAAUCUAAACCUUAACCAGUCAUUCUCCUAGUUAGACUGUGAGCUCCUAGAGGGAAGUUUGGCAUGUGAUAUGUUUCUUAUGGUCCCUGCAGUAUCUAGCACGUGCUAGUAGGGAUCAGGUAUGCAAUACUCAUCUAUUGAUUGAUUUGGGAUACAGUGAGUUGAGGUAAGAGAGAAACAGAAGUCAACUCCAACACGUCAAAGAAUAAAGUUUGCUGUUGGUCUCAACAGCCCCAGGGCAUCUUUACUGCAGUGUGAUCUCUCUCUCCUAUCCAGUGAGGCUCCAAAAUAUGGCUUUAAUUAUCCUUCCUAAGUUUUACAAAAUUCACUGAGCUUUUGUCUUUAAAACAGUAUUCCUUCCCCAUCUCUGGUGUGAAAAAAAAAUUACGACCAGAGUUUUACAUCUUUUUCUUUCCGAUAUUUCCAGAAAAGUAUGCCCUAGUCUAAUUUGCAGGUGGAAAUUGAAAAUGUAUCUCGCUGACCUCAAGGGAUGAUAUUCAGGAGCUUCAGGGAAUCUUCAGCUAAUGGGAGAAGCACAAGCAGAUUAAUGGAUCCCAAAGACAAAAUGCCUAUCCUAGCUCAAAUGACAUCUCGUGGAUCUUGAAAAGUGGAGCUUUCUGUGCCCAUCUUCAGAAAGAGACAUCAGACAAUCUUAACAUUUCUGCAGCUGAACAUGGGAUGAGAAGAGGGCAAUCUUCCAGUGGGUCCACCACAUUUUCUUUCCAAUUGAGCCAAUUCAUGGUCUCUUCUGGCAACUGCAAGGCCAGAUGUGAAUUUACCACUUUAUUGAGUGAAGCGGUCUGGGCAUUGUGAGACUCACAUAUGCACCCAGAGGGGAAGGGACCCUCACUCUGGGAAUGGAAAUCAAUUCAUAAUUGUACCCAGACAAAUGGGGCACACACUUCAGAUCUAUUACAGGAUUUAGUCGGAAUCAGAAGAACAAAGGCAUAAAGUAGAAACACAUUCAUAUGCCAGGCACAGGUAGGGGCUGGGGAGGGUAGAAAGUCCAGGGUUCCUGGCCGGCGAAGAAGGGCUCUGCUCAGCAUCUCAUGCUGGAGUGCAAGAGUAUAAAAUAAGGUAACUAAGGACAUGAAGCUUGGCCGCCUGCACCAUUUGAAAAAAGAAAAAUCAAACUGUGUUUUAUGAGUUUUUCUGGCUGAGUGGGCUGAUGGUAAAAGUGAUUGCAUAAGUGAAUAAAUUGAAAUAUGUAUCCUGGUUGUGUCAAAAGCAAAAAUAAUUAUUUUGUUCUUGGUGAGAUAUAGUGUUUAACUGCCAACACAUCAACCCAAAUAAAAAGGAAAUCUGC